rnacentral:lncRNA from 1 species
CUGAGAGUUUGCAAAGUAACAAAGAAGAAGUGAAAAGCGAGAAGGUCUGCUGACAGGAGGAUUCGGCAGGCACGCACCCCCUCGUUACACGUGGUGCAGGAGCGGAGGCGUGCGCUCCUUGUGUGCGCGCUGCCGGCAGUAAACAACUGCUGUGGAAAUUCUCCUGUACUCUGAAGAAAUUGUGACUGUACUAACACUCAGGAUUCACUCAGCUUUCUCUAACACUGUACCAACAUAUUGUCCUGCAGUCAAUCCUGUUCUGAGUCUUACUCUUCUCC